rnacentral:rRNA from 1 species
GAUGAACGCUGGCGGCGUGCCUAAUACAUGCAAGUCGAGCGAACAGAUGAGGAGCUUGCUCCUCUGACGUUAGCGGCGGACGGGUGAGUAACACGUGGAUAACCUACCUAUAAGACUGGGAUAACUUCGGGAAACCGGAGCUAAUACCGGAUAAUAUAUUGAACCGCAUGGUUCAAUAGUGAAAGACGGUUUUGCUGUCACUUAUAGAUGGAUCCGCGCCGCAUUAGCUAGUUGGUAAGGUAACGGCUUACAAGGCAACGAUGCGAAGCCGACCUGAGAGGGUGAUCGGCCACACUGGAACUGAGACACGGUCCAGACUCCUACGGGAGGCAGCAGUAGGGAAUCUUCCGCAAUGGGCGAAAGCCUGACGGAGCAACGCCGCGUGAGUGAUGAAGGUCUUCGGAUCGUAAAACUCUGUUAUUAGGGAAGAACAAAUGUGUAAGUAACUAUGCACGUCUUGACGGUACCUAAUCAGAAAGCCACGGCUAACUACGUG